rnacentral:rRNA from 1 species
UCCUACGGGUGGCUGCAGUGGGGAAUCUUAGACAAUGGGGGCAACCCUGAUCUAGCCAUGCCGCGUGAGUGACGAAGGUCUUAGGAUCGUAAAGCUCUUUCGCCUGUGAAGAUAAUGACGGUAGCAGGUAAAGAAACCCCGGCUAACUCCGUGCCAGCAGCCGCGGUAAUACGGAGGGGGUUAGCGUUGUUCGGAAUUACUGGGCGUAAAGCGCACGUAGGCGGAUUGGAAAGUUGGGGGUGAAAUCCCGGGGCUCAACCCCGGAACUGCCUCCAAAACUUCCAGUCUGGAGUUCGAGAGAGGUGAGUGGAAUUCCGAGUGUAGAGGUGAAAUUCGUAGAUAUUCGGAGGAACACCAGUGGCGAAGGCGGCUCACUGGCUCGAUACUGACGCUGAGGUGCGAAAGUGUGGGGAGCAAACAGGAUUAGAUACCCGGGUAGUCUA